rnacentral:lncRNA from 1 species
AGACUGGGACAAUUCCUGUUUACGGAAGACUAUAAAACCCUGCCCCCUACUCAUUUGGUGCUGACGCCAUUUUAGGCCUUAGCCUGCCUGCACCCAGGCGCUCAUUAAAACAGCAGGUUGCUCCACACUGCCUCGUGUUGUCUGUUGGCACACUCUCAAGAGUUUGAACGGAUACAAGAAUCUUUCAUCUGGUGCCGAAACCCGGGAGGGGCUCCGGUCUUCGUCCCCCGUGGACCUACCCCUCCGCCCCAGAAAGCAGGCCACAGCAGCCGGACAAAGGAAGCUCCUCAGCCUCCAGUUGCUUCUCUGUGCAUGCACAUCAGUCACUGAUCUCACCUACUGGCCCAGUCCCAAGGCGCAAGGCCACUUGUGCCAGCAGUGUGAGUCAGCAAGAUAGCAGAAGCAGGAAGAGAGCCGGCCAGAAGACACCUACUCUGACUGGGAGACACGUACCCCUGAAGAUUGAGAAAGAGGCCAUCCAGGGAGUGAAGAUGGAAUGAGAAGAACAGAGAAACAAUGACAGAGUCCUUACAAACACCAUGAUACAAGAAGGCAAUGGGGAUAUGUUAUCCUAAAGGAAUCCUAAAAGAAGUGAUCAAAAAGGUGAACAGAAAACCAAGUGGGAGUACUGUCACUGAGGAUGAGUUUCCAGAGAGAAUUAAUGCUGAAGAAGCUAUUGCAGACACUGCUGAGUAUGAAGAACUAAUUGGAGAAGGAAGCCGUUGUAUAGCAGAUGCAGAGCAGCAGCAAAAAUGGUAAUGAAAAUAGAAGAUAAAUUAGAAAAUUUGGAAAAACCCAAACAGAUCAGCCAUAUUGAAGGGAAAAAGAAAAACAAAACAAAGUGGGAGGGCAGAAAUGUAGAACGGUAUACACUCUUUUAACCCCAAGGAUGAAUGUAGCCAAGAACACAGUGGGGACUUAGGAGUCUCAGCACAGAGCAUUCUCUACUCCCUACUGCUCAGGCAAAGAACUCCUUCAUCAUGCAGAACCAAAACUGGUGUAGAGUCUUAAAUGACCUGGGUAUCUCUACGCAGAAGAAAGCGCUUUCCAUGUAAAAGGAUUAACUUGAACCUGGGUGCUCAAGGGACACCCUAGGCUGCUUAUCCCACUGAUUCUGAUCUGACUGUGUUAAGUAAUAAAUCAUGUGGUUACAUAUUCACA